UUAUUGGGGCGUAGCUAAGUGGUAAGGCAGCGGGUUUUGAUCCCGUCAUUCGGAGGUUCGAAUCCUUCCGUCCCAG
rnacentral:tRNA from 1 species